GUAGAUUUGUUUAAAGUUUCUGUUGAAUGUAGGCGUAUUUAUACAGCGUUUGUAAGCGUGGAGAGAUCAGAUCAUAAUUUUUAAAAUAAAAUUCAGAACUUAGGCCAUCAGGACCUGCGGCCUUU